rnacentral:rRNA from 1 species
GUGGGGAAUAUUGGACAAUGGGGGGAACCCAGAUCCAGCCAUGCCGCGUGUGUGAAGAAGGCCUUUUGGUUGUAAAGCACUUUAAGCGAGGAGGAGGCUACCGAGAUUAAUACUCUUGGAUAGUGGACGUUACUCGCAGAAUAAGCACCGGCUAACUCUGUGCCAGCAGCCGCGGUAAUACAGAGGGUGCAAGCGUUAAUCGGAUUUACUGGGCGUAAAGCGCGCGUAGGUGGCCAAUUAAGUCAAAUGUGAAAUCCCCGAGCUUAACUUGGGAAUUGCAUUCGAUACUGGUUGGCUAGAGUAUGGGAGAGGAUGGUAGAAUUCCAGGUGUAGCGGUGAAAUGCGUAGAGAUCUGGAGGAAUACCGAUGGCGAAGGCAGCCAUCUGGCCUAAUACUGACACUGAGGUGCGAAAGCAUGGGGAGCAAACAGGAUUAGAAACCCGGGUAGUCC